GGAGAGGCCAUGUGGCCCGGGCUGCAGGAAAGCAUCUCACCCUCAGUCCUGCACUCCGAGGGCACGUGUCUCUGUCUGGGCUGGGGCCAGCAGCAAGGCCCCCCUCCCCCACUCCAAUCACACAGAUGUGUCUGGGAAGCUUUUUUGCCCGUUUUGGAUGUUGGGCCUUGGCAGGGUCCAAAGUUUGGUGGAGGAGAGGACCUGCCCCUGAGGUGGCUCAAGGACACAGAGCAGGAGAGGGGGCUCCUGCAGG
rnacentral:lncRNA from 1 species